rnacentral:rRNA from 1 species
GUAGUUAGCCGGGGCUUUCUAAUGGGGUACCGUCAUUUUUUCGUCCCCCACAACAGAGGUUUACAAUCCGAAAACCUUCUUCCCUCACGCGGCGUUGCUGGGUCAGGCUUGCGCCCAUUGCCCAAUAUUCCCCACUGCUGCCUCCCGUAGGAGUCUGGACCGUGUCUCAGUUCCAGUGUGGCCGAUCAGCCUCUCAGCUCGGCUACCCAUCGCAGGCUUGGUGGGCUGUUAUCUCACCAACUACCUAAUGGGACGCGAACCCCUCCUUCAGCGGAUUGCUCCUUUGACCUCAUCCCGAUGCCGGGUCGUGGUCUUAUGCGGUAUUAGCACUUGUUUCCAGGUGUUAUCCCCCUCUGAAGGUCAGGUUGUUCACGCGUUACUCACCCGUUCGCCACUAAAAUUUAUCUUCCAUCCGAAAACUUCUGAUAAAUCUCCGUUCGACUUGCAUGUGUUAGGCACGCCGCCAGCGUUCGUCCUGAGCCAUGAUCAAACUCUGA